UUGAGAACCUUCGUAUUGGUUAUUAAAAAAAUAUUCUUUAAUAAAACCGUAAUGCAUUACAAAAAGUAAUGCAUUAUUUAGAACUCUGUUUGUAAUUAUACUUAAGCAGUUCAGUUCAAAUUAUUAUUGCACCGCAUGUACAUACAGCUUCAUGGAAAAACAAACAACGUUUCUUAACGUACCGAACAAAAUUGCACUUUAUAUAAAAAACGCGUAUACAAUAAACAUGUGUGCUCGUCCGUGCCCUAAUUUUCACGAAAAUUAUAGAAACAAUACUCAACAGAACCGUGUGCAUUCAUAGCGUUUGUAAUUAUUAUUGAAAAGAAGAUACUUUGUAAAGAAAAAGAAAGGAUGGAGGGACAUUGAUAAGCAAUAGACCGCAUCAUCCCGGAGGCAACCAAAUGUACAAAGAAAAAACAUACAGAAACAGACGAAGCUCAUAAAGAUUGCUUUUUCGUGAAAGUGGGACCUUCUGGCGCGACUGGUUUUCAUUUCCCGUAUUUUGCACGGUAUAUUACUUCGCGAGUACAUACACGAUGGUUGCGGAAAAACAGAAAAUAACGAAUGUGGCAAGUGACAAAAAAAAAGACGUACGCAUAUUUAGCCAGAACUUUUGGGCACGAAUACAAACUUCCGAAUGCUAUUUAUUCGUAUCGCAUCAUAGCGGUCGACGCGUGAAAUGAUUUCAAAUAAUGGGAAGUAAUUAAUGUACCGCAUUAAUUUCGCAUCCUAAAAUUGGUCCGCUUUUGAGGUCCGUGCCUCCCACUAUAAAUUUAAAUUUCGAUACCGAAUUGAGCAAACGUUAUUAAUACAUGUAUGUACGAGAUAAUUUAUUAAGGCACGUUCAAUAAGUCCGUUAUCGGUAUUGUGUGUAAGUAUGAAUUUUGCCGAUAAAUCGAUGUGACUAUAUGCUUUUCGACUUUAUUGAAAAUUCGCCACCAGAGAGGAAAUUAAUCUAAAAUCAGAUUUCGCUUCAAAGAAAGAUUUCUCAGCUUAUUCCAUUAUCUGGACAUCAGUCAAGCUUCGAUUUCCCAAUUAUUAAUUGCAAUUGGCAAUUUUGAGAAAUGUGAUAUGACAUAUUGCCAUUUAGCACAAUUGAUGUCUGUCCUAUAAAUUAAUAUGUAUCGCUGAUUAGCAGAGCUUUAUAAACGGGGAUUAGCCAAAAUGCAAUAACCGGGACGGGCCCUAUCAAGUCACAGCGAUCUCACCGGCAGCAAUGCCUUUUACGGCUCCUCCAUCGAUCUCUUGAACGCGGUGGCGCAAAUCUUGAUUAUGACGCACGAGAAUCUAGUAGCAAGGACUUCGAUCCGUUCGACUGAAUGGCAAAUAGAUGGGAAAAUGGACCUUUAUGACGGAAGACCUGCUGACGAACGUGACCGACAUCGCCGUGAAACCGUCAUGUACGUAACAAAUAAUAAUGUGCUCUCGAUAGUUUAUACGUUAUCUAUAUUAAUCGGAUUAAGUUUCUGUUUCAGUUACAUAUUCAACCGACGCGCGCGCACCCGAGAGAGAGAGAGAGAGAGAGAUGAAAAAAUCCUUUGACGAGACCCUCAAAUGGCGCUUUAAAAUUCAUCUAAAGCUCUUCAUUUUAAUUCUAUGAAUAAAUAAAAUGAUCGAUUUUAAAUUGUAAUGACAUCGUUGAUAUAUAUCACCAAAGCCUUCAAUAAUUGCUUGGUACUUUGAGGAAUUACGUCCUGAAGAUUCUCCUCCGUCAUGUAUAGGUAGCGAACUGCACAUCGUACACUGUUCUACAAAGAUAAUUUAAUGGCAUCGCGAUGUUCCUGUAUAGUUUCUCGCAAUCCUCGAACAUUUCGUUCGGCUGGGAUUUCGUCAUAGCGUUUCUCGUCACGUCGAUCAUCAUUGCAUAUCUGUUCGAGAAUUACUUGCCCUUCCGUUACGGAAAUGUGUCCGGAAAGCGCAUGAACGAACCGGAUCUUCGCGUUUCGCAAACUUGAGGGAGCUUGCUUCCCACCGAUUCUGCUCGAUGUCGAUGUCACGCCGCAGAAUUGCGGUUCGAUGCCCAAGAAUUUGUCCAGCAAAUUGGUGGUCGCCUUAUCUGGCGACUUUUCGAAUUCGUUAUCAUAGCGGUGUACAAUCUUGCUCGGUAUUUGACAUUGCAGCGGCCAAUUGGAGCGGCGUGAUUGGCGUGAUAGACGACAUCGGGAGACAGUACCAAGUACAAAAAUUCUUAACUCGCCGAUAGUAUAAAAAGUAAAUUUUAAGUGAUUUCGGUUCAAACGAGGUUUUUACGUUUUGGUCUUCUUAAAAACCUUUAAAAAUAUCUGCAAAACAAUGCGUAACUACUUGUUAAAUUCUUAUUAAUCAAUAAGAGCUUCGAUGCGUGUACGUGCUAUUUGGUGGAGCAAAAGACAACGUUUUUAUAUAACUCCCAGAGGAAUCGCGACAACACGUAUAAGGAAAAACGGAUAGAGGUCACGAACCAAGCCGGUAUUUUUAGAGACACGAAGAAAUCUCUUGACAAAGAAUUAUUAAAGUUUCCUGAUAACAGACGAUCGUAAACUUACAAUACCUGUUGUACUAUUGGUAUAUACCUUUCUUUUUUUUUCCUUUGACGUAUUUAUGUUACAAGAAUGUAUUAUUAUUAUUUUAUUUAGAAGAGUUUCUAAUUGUGCGAAAAGAGUCAGUGAAAAGUGUCAUAUUUUAAGGCAUAUUUCAGUAAUUGGUAUUAUUGUUUGUCAAAAUUGGAAGAUAAUAAUUGAUAUAACGUGAAAUUUGUACCUGAUCGAGUUACCUGAAUUAAAAUUGAAAUACAAUAUAUAUGCCUCAUUUCACUCUAAUAAAUUGUAAUUCGAUACAUAAUAAAGGUAUUUCAUAUUUUGGAUCUGAUGUAAUGUAUUAUAUGAUUUAUUUAAAAGCUCUAAUACCGAUAUUGGCAAAUUUAAUUAAUAAUCUCAUUUAAUGAUCUCAUAGCCGAGAAUCACUCUAAUUACACGUCUCGUAACAAUUUUACGUAUUAAUAUUGAAAAUUCGACAUAAGCUUUGUUGAUAUUACUGUAAUCCGUGUUAGCUCUUCCGUUGCUGAAGGCGAUUAUAGUUGGCCAACGCAUUUGCAUCUUUUACGCUCGAGAACGAUUAAAAGUUCGCGCGGUUCCUAAAUAUAACAACAGAAUUAAUAGAGGUAGGGAGUAUAUCUAACGUUUAAUUAAUACUUCCCACAAAUAACCUCUUUAUCUCUCGUUUGACCAACGAGAGAGAUACAUAUUUGCUCGUCUCACAUAUGAAAUGACCGAAUCGAUCAUAGUGGAGCUCGUUUUAGUUGAACAGCUUCAAUAAUCGCAAGAAUGUUUACAAUCUGUGGAGACAGAUGAGCUUGAAUGGUAGUCAGAUUAUUAAAAGAGCGAGCUAAUUUUAUGGGAAUGGCCAAUCGAGAAGAAAUAUUAUAUUUGUUAUACACAAAAAUUUAUAUGCAAUGAAGAAAGCAGGCUUCUAAUACAGAAAACCACGAUCAAAAAAUGAUAAAUUGCAAAACAAUGAGUAGAUAUUUGGCACUAACAAACUAUGACUUGCAACCUCGCUAAAAAAGAGCGAAUUGCAAAAUAAGUAAAAGAAAAAUAGUAGAACGAAAA